GGCGGCUGGAGAAUUCAUUCAAUGCUUUUGGAAGAAACCGUUGAAUCCGUGACCGAAGUGAGCAAGAUGGCACAUCGAGUGUGCGUAAAAGUGCAGUCGAGUUGUGAUGGCUGCCAUUCAACUGCUCAAAAGACUCGAGCACACUUUCACCGCAUCACAAUGCUGGAAUCGUCGCAGCCUCCGCAAACCAGAGGCAGAGACGUCGACCCCUGCUUCGAAACGUUGAAGUGUUCCCACCACAGCUGCUGAUCUUCCCUCCUCGAGCGUCGCACGUCCUCCUCAGCCCACCUGCGCCCUGCAGCUCGUCCCCAACGCGUGCCAAGGCAGCGGACCUCUGAGGCCACUUCAAUCAUAUUUAUCAAGGACCGAUUAGACCACGUGUUCAACCCCCCCCCCCCCCCCCCCCCACACACACACACAUAUCUUUUGAAAAAUCACCCCUCUCUGGCCCCAUCUAAUACCAUUUGCAGUUUACCAUAAUCUCAUUUGAAUUAUGUUUUUUUUCAGUUUUUUGUUUUAGUAUUUUUGAAUUAUUAUUGCACAAGCGUUUUUUUUUGGGGGGGGGGCGGAGAUGCGAGGGGACGGGGCCAAGGGCGGGGACUGAAAUGGCGCUACAUAUUGGUAGCAGUUUGUAAAGUGCAUAUUUCCCUUUAAUUCCACGUUAAGAGGCGACUUAUUUUAAAUUGGACUGUUCGUUGCACCAACGGGGAAGUUGCUUUGAAAGGCUCACGUGCCUUUGCAAUAUAAUGGAGUGUAGAUCAUUAAAGCGGCCACAGUAUGUUUUGCAGUACAAAGUGAUUUGUUUGAAUCAAUAUUUUGGUGCAUUUCAUUUUGACAUAGAAACAUUUUUUUGGGGGGGUGGGCAUUGAAAUCGCAUACAGCAGUAAUUCUCAAAAGUGUGGCACGAGUACCACGAGUGGUGCACGAAUGGUAUGCGGAAGAAUCACUGAAUUAAAUACAAUUAAAAUUGACACCCAUUAAAACAUGAAAUAUACAAUCAAAAAUAUUUGAGUGAAGUAGCUAUGCAACAGCUUAUUUAAACUUUUUUAUAAUCCAGUGGGAAUUUGUGUUUGGCUAUGUGCCUGCUGUAUGCACCACAUGCACUAAUCCGCACACUCACAGAGAGAGUGGGCAGGGUGAACUGGUUCAUUUUCACGAAAUGUACCUCUCAAAACUGGUUCAGUUCCGGGAGGCUUAUUUAGUUUAUUUUUAUUUUAUUUUUUUUAAACAGUGUAAAAUGAGCUGCAAUUCUUGAUCCUUAGGGUAUUUUGAUGUUGCCCUCCUCGAUCCUCCCCUACAUGAAAACACUGCAAUUAAUUUGUUAAUAAGUAAAAAAAAAAAAGAACAUUAGAAAUGAAAAUCAGGUAAUUGAAAUUGAAAAAUAAUAAAAUUACAAUAAGUAAAACCUGUGAGACUAAGAGCCGAACAUACCAUAGCAACUCUAACAUGAAUUUUUCAGAGUAUGCCCACUUCUACUACUAAUUACGAGAACUACUUAUUUCGGGGACCCCCUUAAAAAUGACAAGAUACAUCUCAAAGGGUUUAUUAUCCUAAAAAAAAGAAACAAAGAACAAACAAACAAAAAAAAAACAAUGUGUCGUUGUCG